rnacentral:rRNA from 1 species
GAGUUUGAUCAUGGCUCAGAUUGAACGCUGGCGGCAUGCCUUACACAUGCAAGUCGAACGGCAGCAUGAUCUAGCUUGCUAGAUUGAUGGCGAGUGGCGAACGGGUGAGUAAUACAUCGGAACGUGCCCUGUAGUGGGGGAUAACUAGUCGAAAGAUUAGCUAAUACCGCAUACGACCUGAGGGUGAAAGUGGGGGACCGCAAGGCCUCAUGCUAUAGGAGCGGCCGAUGUCUGAUUAGCUAGUUGGUGGGGUAAAGGCCCACCAAGGCGACGAUCAGUAGCUGGUCUGAGUGGACGAUCAGCCACACUGGGACUGAGACACGGCCCAGACUCCUACGGGAGGCAGCAGUGGGGAAUUUUGGACAAUGGGCGAAAGCCUGAUCCAGCAAUGCCGCGUGUGUGAAGAAGGCCUGGUU